UUCUUCAUAUGUUUUAGCAUCCAGUCCCCUAAUCAUCUUUGUUGCUCUUUUCUUCUCUCUUUCUAGAGUGCACUCUUUCUUCUGCUCCUCAAAGAAAAAGGAACAGGGCCUUUUUUCAUCUAUUGAUAAACCAUCCCUCACAGAAGCCUUCCCCAACUCUUCCUUGGCUCACAGAUUUUCAUUUCUUGAACUUGUGCAUAUUUACACAAGGUUGUUUUACUUCCUGUUCCAAACAAGGAUGCAGUUAUUUCACCUGCCAUCCACUGAGUUAAUAAACUGGCUUCUCAGGCGAACACAGUUGUGGUCCAUGAAGGAGAUAUUUAGGAGUUGCUAUUUUCUACAGGCAAAACCUGUCCAACCAGCCUUCCUAAGUUGAGAUCUGCCUAAAACACUAGAAGACGGGAUAUCUAUUGUUUGAGGCUGUUGAACUUUCUUCUGUCUUAUUACGAAGGUUCUUCUGCUUCUUGUUCAGCCACAAUAAAAACACUGGAUUUAGCAGAAAGAUUCAUCAGGAAAAAUAAUAUCCAGGGAUCAACAGAGGCCCUUCCCACCCCAAAUUUAAACAUGCAUAUAAGAAAUAUCUGCAAUAUUAAACUCAGUGGUGGGAUUCAAAUAAUUUAACAACCGGUUCUCUGCCCUAAUGAUUUCUUCCAACAACCGGUUCACUAAACUACUCAGAAAAUUAACAACCAAUUCUCCCAAUCCCUGAAUCCCACUACUGUGUUCAAUCAGUGCAAUCAGAAUAUUGAUUGAACAGAAAAUGCAUAAGGGAAAAUAAUAUUAGGAACCAACAAAGAUUAUGCCACGCAAAUUUAAACAUGCAUAUAAGAAAUAUCUGCGGCAUUAAGCUCCCAAACUCAAGGACAUCUAAGCCUUGAAAUAUCUCUUUAUAUCAUGAAUCGGCAUCUUCUGUAUGAAUUUUUGAGUACAGUAUCCUUCCCUGCCAUGCCCACCAAACGAUGCUCACCAAGUCACAUCACUCCCACCAAUCCACACCCACAGAACUGGUAAUAAAAAAAAUUGAACUCCACCACUGUUCCAAUGAUAGAAUACCAUUUUUCAUAUAUUCCUAAAAGUCAAGUUAGUCUUAAUUUAAUUUCAAUCCUAUUCCUUUCUUUAAAACAUAUGAGAGUACCCUCAUGGUUUCUUUAAGAAAAAGAUCUGACAAAUCCAAUCAUUGGGUGCCUGAAGUAAGCAGUGGGAAGGAGAGUCAAGUUAUUGAGUCACUCUGACUAGAUGGAAAUGUUCUCCAGGGUCGUGACUAUUACAAAUCAUUCUUUGCAAUGAAGAAUCACUAAUUGAAUUUGCUAUCAAUGAGGAAAUCUAACUCAAUUCCAUUCCCAUCCAGAGCUUGAACAACUUCAAUUGCAAAUAGAAGAACUUGAGGCUCUGUUGAUCCGUUCGAAAGAAAUCAUCCGCAAAAUUAGUAAAGUUUUCCCUGGUUGUGGUGGAAAGAUUGUUGGCAAUAAAAUUUUGAAAAAAGAGACAGUCAGGGUACUUUCCAGGAAGGCAAAAAGCUGCGAUGACAUGAAUGGAAAACUCGUCUUGCCAAGGAGUGAGGAAGAGAAUGAAGCCCUCGAACAAAUAUUAGGACAACAAUGGGCAAUUCUGGGAAUCAUUUACAAUGCAGCUAAAGGCAAGUUUGAGGAUCUCACUGGCCAGCCCCCCAAUUCGUCAAAUGGGCUUCAGAACAACCAAAAUUCGAGGAAGAUAAAGUGUGUGGUAAUAAAACCAGAUGGCACGUGGAGUAUUGAUUAUUGUGAGGAGAGGUGGGUAGUCAUCUGUGAAUUUAGCAUCUAACGGAUGUUGGGUUGGGGGAAGGAAAAGAAUUCCACCAUAGAGUUGAAAAAAAGCUUAAUCUGUGUAUCACACAUACAAUCUAGCAUAUGAUAAGUAAAUCCUAAUCCAAUAGCUUCCCCUGUUUUCAGCAAGGAGUUUUAUUCUGUUGACUUCAGCCUUGUCAUUCCAAAAGAAGUUGCCUUCUUCCAGUUAAACCAACCAUCUUGGAAUUCUUCCAUAGUCCUCCACUGAAGUAAUGGCCAGAUUUGAGGCUGUUUGGCUUUUACGAUCCAGCAUCAGAUAGAUGUUGCCACCUUCCAAGUCUUCUCUAUCCUAGCUUAGACAGCAAAUCUUGCACAGAAAUGUAGCAGUUUAUAGAUCCAUUUCCAAAUAAAUGCAUUUCUUAUCAGCA